rnacentral:rRNA from 1 species
UACAGAGGUCUCAAGCGUUGUUCGGAUUCACUGGGCGUAAAGGGUGCGUAGGUGGCGAGGUAAGUCGGAUGUGAAAGCUCGGAGCUCAACUCCGAAAUGGCAUUGGAAACUACCUUGCUCGAGGGUUGGAGGGGGGACUGGAAUACUUGGUGUAGCAGCGAAAUGCGUAGAUAUCAAGUGGAACACCAGUGGCGAAGGCGAGUCCCUGGACAACUCCUGACACUGAGGCACGAAAGCUAGGGGAGCAAACAGG